GAGGCGGCCUCGCUGCCUUCUGCUCAAUCGCCCCCUCUCGACUCUGCCUACGAUUUCUUUGCAGAGAAACGUGGGGAAGUCGAAUGGAAGUGCUGAGGUGUUGAGAAGUGGAAAUGGAAGAGGGGAGAGGACCAAAGCCUUGGGGUGCAGCCCUGCCGCACUCCCAGGUGUUCCUUUAGGCCGCUUGCCCCGUGCGUCCAUCAACCCACCCCACCUUUCCCCAUCUGGGCUCCAGGUCCAGGACGUCCUGCAGAGAUCGGUGGGGCAAAAGACACAGACCGACAAGGCCUGGGGAGGUAGGGUGGAGAAAGGAGCAGAAUGCCUCCACCUGGAUAGGAAAGCAAAUAACGUGUGUCCCUCGCUCAUCUCCAGCCAAGGCUAUAGUGUGAGUAGAAAGCUCUGGAAACACAGUGGCUACAUCACAGUAGCUGUUUUAUCAAGUAUGCUGUGAUGUUGGCCCUCCCUGCAAAAUAUGAUAAAAUGAAAUCACCAAUGGGUCUUCCAAGAAAAGCCGAAAAUCAACAAAGCACGAUCAACUGAAGUUCUUUUAUUCCCUAGGUAGUGUUCAAUUUAUUCUGCAUUUUGAAAUUUUGUCUUGAUA